rnacentral:rRNA from 1 species
AUUGACCGCUGGCGGCAGGCCUAAAACAUGCAAGUCUAACGAGUGGCGGACGGGUGAGUACUUUCUGGGAAACUGCCUGUUGGCGGGGGCUAACUACUGGAAACGGUAGCUAAUACCGCAUACUCUCAGAUGUGCCCAGAUGCGAUUAGCUUGUUGUGGGGGUAACGGCUCACCAGGGCGCCGAUCCCUAGCUGGUCUGAGAGGAUGACCAGCCACACGGUAACGGAGACACGGUCCAGACACCGAAGGGAGGGAGCGGUGGGGAAUAUUUCACAAUGGGCGCAAGCCGGAUGCAGCCGUGCCGCGUGGAUGAAGAAGGCCUGCGGGUUGGAAAGUACUGUCAGCAGGUAGGCGUUACUCGCAGAAGAAGCACCGGCUAACUCCGUGCCAGCAGCCGCGGUAAUAC